AUUGAACGCUGGCGGCAGGCCUAACACAUGCAAGUCGACCGAGUGGCGGACGGGUGAGUAAUGUCUGGGAAGCUGCCCGCUGGAGGGGGAUAACUACUGGAAACGGUAGCUCAUACCGCAUACCAUCGGAUGUGCCCAGAUGGGAUUAGCUAGUAGGGGUGGUAACGGCUCACCUAGGCGACGAUCCCUAGCUGGUCGGAGAGGAUGACCAGCCACACGUGAACUGAGCCACGGUCCAGACUCCGACGGGAGGCAGCAGUGGGGAAUAUUGCACAAUGGGCGCAAGCCUGAUGCAGCCAUGCCGCGUGUAUGAAGAAGGCCUUCGGGUUGUAAAGUACUUUCAGCGAGGAGGCGUUACUCGCAGAAGAAGCACCGGCUAACUCCGUGCCAGCAGCCGCGGUAAUUC
rnacentral:rRNA from 1 species